rnacentral:rRNA from 1 species
AUUGAACGCUGGCGGCAGGCCUAACACAUGCAAGUCGAGCGGUAGCACAGAGAGCUUGCUCUCGGGUGACGAGCGGCGGACGGGUGAGUAAUGUCUGGGAAACUGCCUGAUGGAGGGGGAUAACUACUGGAAACGGUAGCUAAUACCGCAUAACGUCGCAAGACCAAAGUGGGGGACCUUCGGGCCUCAUGCCAUCAGAUGUGCCCAGAUGGGAUUAGCUAGUAGGUGGGGUAAUGGCUCACCUAGGCGACGAUCCCUAGCUGGUCUGAGAGGAUGACCAGCCACACUGGAACUGAGACACGGUCCAGACUCCUACGGGAGGCAGCAGUGGGGAAUAUUGCACAAUGGGCGCAAGCCUGAUGCAGCCAUGCCGCGUGUAUGAAGAAGGCCUUCGGGUUGUAAAGUACUUUCAGCGAGGAGGAAGGCAUUAAGGUUAAUAACCUUAGUGAUUGACGUUACUCGCAGAAGAAGCACC